AUGUCCACAGCAUUUUUCUUCUUUGCUAAUGCUCCCUCAGUACUGCCUCCCCUAUUGCUGGGCAGAAAAAAUAAAUUAUUCUGCCUCUUCCCUUAAAAUGUAUCCUAAUGUUCACCCCUGUACAAAACUGUCCAUUUCUCCUGUCCCUAGCUCCUGAAAACAUCUGUUGUCUUCUGCUGUAUUGCACUGGGAGAGCUUGCAUGGGGGACAAUGAAACACAGAUGCUCCAGUGUUUCUUCCUCCAGUUCCACAGCAGGCAGCAUUGGAAGGACUAGGAAGCACUAGGAGAUUUCAGCGGGAGGAACUUCUUAUGUCCUCGGCAGUGCCACUUCCCGCAGCCCCCAUUGGCCUGGGAGGGCAAACUGCAGUCAGUGGGAGCUGCGAUCAGCUGAACCUGUGGACGCGUGAGGACACCUUGAAUGGGACACAAUAUUCCAGCAGUGUUCUCAU